GUUUCAGCAGCCGCGGUAAUACGAAGGGGGCUAGCGUUGUUCGGAAUUACUGGGCGUAAAGCGCGCGCAGGCGGUUUUCCAAGUCAGUGGUGAAAGCCCGGAGCUCAACUCCGGAAAUGCCAUUGAAACUGUAAAACUUGAGGACGAGAGAGGUGAGUGGAAUUCCCAGUGUAGAGGUGAAAUUCGUAGAUAUUGGGAAGAACACCGGUGGCGAAGGCGGCUCACUGGCUCGUUUCUGACGCUCAGGCGCGAUAGCGUGGGGAUCAAACAGGAUUAGAAACCCUAGUAGUCC
rnacentral:rRNA from 1 species